rnacentral:lncRNA from 1 species
GAUUCCUCGGUGAUCAUCUCGGCUACCAAAAUCUUAUCUUUUUGGGUCUGUCGAAGAGAGAGUGAGGAUGAGAAUAGUAGACUUUGUCAUAUUUACCUUUAGUUUAGUGUGUUAUGCCUUUAUUUUGGUCUCAAAACCCGAAAUUAGAUUUCCACUCUUCCUUUAGGAUCAUCCUCAGUAUGAAAACAUAUUAGAAGGAUAAAUAUAGUCAUGUUCUGGGAUGCUAGACAUUUGAGUAUGUUUGUUCAGAGAAGUUAGCUCAAUUUUGUUGUC